UUACGUCGAAAUGGUGUGAAAUCCUUCUACGAAUAUAAGCAGUAUAGCAUUCAGAACUUCUACAAUACUGAGCAAUAUCCGCUGGCGCUAGCAAACUUGACUACCUCAAUCAGUAGCCUCUUUACGCCUUCAACCGAUUGUGGUUGCCAAGCUUGCUAGUGCCAGAGGAUUUCUCUCAGCCAUGAGUAA